AUUCUUUUUCAGUUCAUAAGUAUGAUGAUCGAGUUGUCACACGCCUGUGUGAUAGGUUCCUCUCUUUAACCUUGUUAUGACGUAGGCACAUGACCCUUCUGACG